rnacentral:tRNA from 1 species
AUAGUCGUACCAUAAUGGCUAAUGGGUCCGCUUUGGAAGCGGGAAUAUGGGGGUUCAAGUCCCUCCGACUAUA